UUAAUAUCUUCAUUGUCAAAUAUAUGCGCUAUAAAUAUAAAAAUAUAUUUCAUGUUCUAUCUAAUAAAUUACGUAUUUUUUCUAUUAACUUAGUCAAAGAUAAAUUAAAGAAGUUUGAUUUACAAUAAAACAACUUAUAAUUUAGGAUGGAGAGAGUAAUAAUAGUUAACCUCCACUAAACGGUACGCAGGGACCCGAAGGACAUGUUGGUUUCUAUGUGGCAGUUCUCCAGGAGGAUUCAACCAGACCUUGAAUUAUCCGACCUGUUGGAGGCAGCCUGCGACGGCAGCUGCCUGAGCGGCCCCAUCUGGGACCAUGUCCUCGGCUACUGGAAUGCCAGCAAGGCGAGCCCGGAGACGGUGAUGUUCCUGAGAUAUGAGGAGAUGCUUCAGGACCCCGUCAGCAAUGUCGUCAAGCUGUCGCGGUUCCUGGGACGGCCGUUCUCGCCGGCCGAGGAGGAGGCGGGGGUCGCCAUGGACGUGAUGAGGCUGUGCAGCUUCGAGAAGCUGAAAGAUCUGGAGGUGAACAAGGCAGGCUCAGGCUCAGGAUCGCCAUCCCUGCGAGGCGUUCGUGAAGGUGCCUUCGUGAACAGCUCCUACUUUAGGAGAGGCGAGGCGGGAGACUGGACGAACCAUAUGACGCCGGAGAUGGCCCGGCGUCUCGACGCUGUCAUGGAAGAGAGGCUCUGCGGAUCAGGCUUCUCCUUCUCCUGAUCGAUCGGUCAUCGGCGUACCCUGUUUGUGUCAUCACACGAUGAACCGAUAAAGAUUUCCGCAAGCCAUCAACUGCCUCUUCAUUCUCAUGCAUGCACCUCUUAUUAGUUAGAUGCCUGAUAAAUGCACACUGCUGCGAACAGAUCCAUAGUUGACGAUGAGCUCUAGAUGAUAAUAUUACUCCUGAAUUGCUCCAUAAUUCUAUUCAGGAAUUUCUCUUAAUAUAUUGAUACACAGCUCUCCUGCAUGUUCGAGAAAAAAAAUUAUAUUCCUGAUGAAAAUAUAGCAGGAGACAAUGAGGCAGUGCAAUAUAUAAAAUUAUUUGGCAACUUGUGUGUACAUCCUUUUUCCUGCUAAGUGCCCCAACCCAAAUCACUUGGAAUUUCAAGAAAAAGUUUAGAUCAAUACCAGUUUCCUUCUGCUUGUGUUGAUAGUGAUUGAAUUGCAACCGAUUGUACAUAUCUUAAAUCAAUGUUUUGGUAUGUACUGUGUAUGUACAAUUCCUUAAGUGUCAACCUAGCUAAGAAACUGAUGGCAACCGAUGCUCUUUUUCCCAUCAAUGGGUACGUACACCAUGGUCCAUGAAAACGUUUUUGGGUUCCGAUUGAAUGGGCAACUUGGUCUUGGUGCGGGUACAAAGAUUAGACGUUGACGAUGAGCUCUAGAUGAUAGUAUUACUCCUGAAUUGCUCCAUAAUACUAUUCAGGAAUUUCUCUUAAUAUAUUGAUACACAGCUCUCCUGCAUGUCUGAGAAAAAAAUUAUAUUCAUGAAGAAAAUAUAGCAGGAGACAAUGAGGCAGUGCAAUAUAUAAAAUCAAUUUGGAAAGUUGUGUGUCCAUCUUAUAUUAUGCAUCAAUACAUACACUUAGAUAGUGCAUAACAAAAAUUAUACAUCUAGAAAAACUAAAACGACCUACAAUUUGGAACGGAGGGAGUAGGAACGGAGAGAGUAGAUAGAUAGAUAGAGAGCGAGCACACUUUUAAGGUCAGAAGAACCUGCUUCAUAAAGAUGCUUAACACAACACCUAGUUCCAGUGGAUAGUACAAUGCAUAUUAAUCCUCAAUCCUGAAAAGAAUUCAUUUUUUCGGAUGGAGGGAGUAGAUGCUACUUAGGAUUUUUUUUUCUGAUUUGGUGGUAAAUAUUGAGAGAAAAAAACUAUAUCAAAGAUAGCUUGGGCAUGGAAUCUAACUAUUGGAAACCGCACAACAACAUUUGGGUGGACUUUUCAUACUCCUUCCGUCCCAAAAAGGAAUGACAUUCUAGGAUUCAAAAUUUAUCCAAAAAGAACGAUGUUCUAGGAUUUAAAUCUUAUGCAUGCAUAAUGUGGCGUGUUGAUCUUGUGCAUGCAUAAUUAAAAGGAAACAUAUUCCUCCAUUUUCUAUAUACAAACUGAAAGGUACAUGUGUCAUUUUCAUUCACUCCUAAUCUGUCUGAAAAUCCCAAAAAAUCAUUAAUUUUUUUGGACGGAGGGAGUAUGACACAAAGAAUGCAUGGAAAAUUGCAAGGCCAGGGACACCCAAUUAGGCAAUUACUACAUGAAAAUAUCUUCCUCCAGGAAACCACGCAAAGCUUAGAGUCUAGUUGAUCAGGUAUACAAUUAUCUGCAAUUUUCCAAAUAAGACACUUACCUUUGAAGGAGUAGGAGCUUGUCAAACUGAUUUCCACAUUUUUCUUUCACCAUCACUCCAUCAGGACCAUGAUGCCUCAUGCCUCACCUGGUAAAAAAAGGCCAGUUAUAAGAACUUUAUAACUGAAAACAGUCCCGAUUUCUCAUAGUUCCAGGCACCCAUAUGAGGACACUGAAAUUGUGGGAUCUUGAAAAUGAUUUUUUUUUCGUUGGAAUAGUUGGUUCCUCGUUAAAUUCUCUAUAUGAAAAUAUAUUCAUACGCUUAGUCAUCAAGUAAUCAUUGAUGUUUAUGACUUUGUUUAUGCAAACAGGAGCCAAGAUAGGAGUUUAUAACUUCAGAGGUGGCAGGACAUUAACCGGAUGGGCUACAUGGCCGUAGUCCAACUUCAACUCACAAACAAAAGGGAACAAUGUUGAAUUCCGAAAGAGAUUGAAGAAACGGGAUCAACUAAACUAUGCGGCAGCGAAAAUCUGUAAAUUGCACAUAGUAUUAUGCUACUGCCUGCAUACUGGCUACUAUUCCAAUUUUUGGUGCGCAUGUGCGGAGUAUAGAUUAUUUGUAGGUUAUUACCAGCUGUGUUUCCAUUCUAUAUCUUCUUUUGUUGCUGUCUAGAAUAAAAUACAGCAGAUGUCUUUACCUUUUAGACUAUGCUUAUGAUGAUUUCCUUUCGUUCGUGUUCUCUUUUCCUUAUAUUUUGGUGAUUAGCGUUGGUGCUGAUAAUAUUGUAAGGACCUGGUUAUGUGCGGUCGGAGAGGCGGAGACGAUUCCAUUAUCUAAAAAAAGUUCCAUGCUAGAAUUAUUUUACCGUUGUUAGGAUGUGAUAGAGGUACUGUGAUUAUCGAAGGACUCAAAUGACGACCAGAGGGAAAGCUGAUAAAAAUUUCUUGGUCGAGGAAGAGAUUUGGCCUAUAUCUCAAUUUUGCCCCUACAUGCCUCUCUUCUAACAAUCGUCAAACUCACAUAGUAGUCAUAGUUACAUAGUCAUGAAGAUUAGCGGUUAGGCAGACACUCAGAUUGGUGCGGGCGAUGUAGCCAUGUCAGCAACCGAUGGAGCUGUUGAUCAAUCGGGAAAAAAAAAGAUAAGAGAAAUCCCCAUCUGAAGGUCACCGGGAAAACUUUGAUGGUGUGGUCGAUCCAUAGAUCUGCAUGGAAACCGGAGUGCAUGGAGCGAAAUAAUCCCUUGGUCCAAAUGGCCAAAACUCUCCUCCCUCUUGCCGUUUUCACCCAAAUUUCCCUCUCACCACGUUUGUAUGGACGACACACAAUUCGCUGGCCCGGAAGUAACACUCGAAAUUAAAAAAUUCUAGCAACUAGACAGAAACUAACAAAAGCAAGGAGGGUGGGUGAACAUUGAUCCAUGCAUGCCACUACACGUUGAGGGAGACCUGCUUGUUGCCAUCUGCACAUGCCUCACGCGGACGAUUGACUUGCAGGACAUGGCAGCAGCAGGAGGUAUAUGUGACAAGGGGAACACGGUGAGCAGUAGACACUUUUUUUUUGUGCAAAAAGCAGCAAGAGCAACAACUUUUGUGUUGUAUUUAGAGGCGUCUAACGUCUUGAUACAGUGAGCAUUGGCGUCUAAUCUCUAACUGGUACAUGUGUGCACCAAGAUGAUCAAUCGCAACAAAUAAAUAAUUUCGUUGUGUAGAUCAUUUGAUGGGAAAAGAUCUGUUGCAAUCAGUUUCUCGUUUUGAAACAUGCGGCAAGAACUUCACCGAUCUGGUAUUGACAGAGAAUACGCAAUAAGUUUCUCCCAUGCUUUCGAUUAGGAUCUGAAUUCAGUGGUCCAGUGAGAUGUGAGUGUAUUGUCUAUAUAUCUUCAUGUUUGGGCCUCCCGAAGAAUAACAAUCAUUGCUGGGGAAUGCACCUUCAAUACCGGGUUCAAACUUCCCUUAGUACCGAUUGUGCAACCGGUAUUGCUAUUUCAGUCCUAAAGGUAUCCCUUUUAGUACCGGAUCAACUGGUACUAAAGUGGCAAUAAAAAAAAAAGAAAAUCCGCCGACCGGAGGCUCGGCCGCACCCCGCCGUCCGCACAGCACUUGAGCCCCGCACCAGAGAGAGGGAGGGAGGGAGGGAGGCGGUGUACUUAUGCUGCUCAGCCACCGCCGCCGGUUGCCGCCGCCGCCGGAUCUGAGGAAGAGGUGGCCGCUACUCCAAGAUCCACAUGCUCCUUGCUCCGCCACGCCCUGCCGACACUCCGCCGCCUCACCGCGCCCUCCCUUCUUGCCUCCGCCGCUCCUUGCCCAGCCACCGCUCCUCACCACAUGUAAGAGGUGAGGGGCGAGCGGAGUGGGGAGGAGAGGGGCAGCGACGAGAGGGGCGGUGAUGGGAUCUGUGUGGAGGAAAGGGAGGGGAUUCAACUGGGGAGAGAGAGGGGAUUCAGCGGGAGAAGAAGAGAGAGAGAUGUAGGUGAGAGGAUGUGGGGACGAGCUAGCGGAUAAGUGUGGGGAGGGGGGUGAGCGUGGGGUGAGAGAAAGAAAGGGGGCUGACGCGUGAGGGGAGGUUGCGAUUUAGUACCGGGUGAAGCCUUUGCCCGGUACUAAAGGGGUCAUGAGGGGCUCCACGGGAACUGGCCAUUAGGCUCGGUCAUAAUGCUCACAUUAGUACCGGACCCAACGCAACUAGGACCGAGCCUCUCUUCUAACAAUAGUCAAACUCACAUAGUAGUCAUAGUUACAUAGUCAUGAAGAUUAGCGGUUAGGCAGACACUCAGAUUGGUGCGGGCGAUGUAGCCAUGUCAGCAACCAAUGGAGCUGUUGAUCAAUGGGAAAAAAAAAGAGAAGAGAAAUCCCCAUCUGAAGGUCACCGGGAAAACUUUGAUGGUGUGGUCGAUCCAUAGAUCUGCAUGGAAACUGGAGUGCAUGGAGCGAAAUAAUCCCUUGGUCCAGAUGGCCAAAACUCUCCUCCCUCUUGCCGUUUUCACCCAAAUUUCCCUCUCACCACGUUUGUAUGGACGACACACAAUUCGCUGGCCCGGAUGUAACACUCGAAAUUAAAAAACUCCAGCAACUAGACAGAAACUAACAAAAGAAAGGAGGGUGGGUGAACAUUGAUCCAUGCAUGCCACUACACGUUGAGGGAGACCUGCCUGUUGCCAUCUGCACAUGCCUCACGCGGACGAUUGACUUGCAGGACCAUCACCACUACGCAACACUUUGCAAGUUAAAUCUCGAAGAGGAUAGCAUAGCAAACCAACAAAUUAAAACAAGGAAAAUCCAGGCAUUUGGAAGAAGAGAGUGAAAACCGUACAAGUGAAAAUCGUUCGGCAUUCAUGCAUACAAACCCUAGCUAAGGAGGUUCGCAGGAAGCUAGGCUGGCUAGCUAGCAUGGCUAAUGUUACUGCCUGCACCGGCCCGGCUACUGUACUCUCUGGACUACCUGCGCCGGUGCCAUUCAAGGACGUCGGCGGCGGCGACGGUGAUGCCGGGCAGCAGGACGCCGACGCCUCAGCGCCGGAGGAGUACGCGAGCGCCGUCAUCUCCGACCUCCCGAGCAACCCGAAGCUGUUCCUGCGCCGCUACCAGGGCACGUGGGUGCUGGAGUCAUGGGUGCCGGGGAUCGUCGCCAUCCAGCGGGGCUUCGCGCCGCGCGGCGGCGACGUCAUCCUCGCCAGCCCGCCCAAGUGCGGCACCACGUGGCUCAAGGCCCUGGCCUUCGCCACCAUGGCGCGCGGCGUUCACCCACCGGCCGGCGACCCCGGGCACCCGCUCCUCCGCGUCAACCCGCACGACUGCGUCCCCUUCAUGGAGAAGCUCUUCGCCGCCGGGCUGGGGAGCAAGGUCAUGGACGCGCUGCCGUCGCCGCGGCUCAUGGCCACGCACAUGCACCACUCCGUCCUGCCGGCCUCCAUCAAAAAGAACCCCGACUGCAAAAUCGUCUACAUAUGCAGGUUAUAUAACUUAGCAGUUUAGGAUGAUUAAUUCUAGAUAGUAUUUCUAGUCCAUCGGCAAAUGUGCUAUUCUUUCCGUUCCAAGUCACUUUAAUUUUAUCUUAAAUUAAAUUUGUCUAACUUUGAUCAAUUUUUUAUAAAAAAAUAUAUUAAUAUCUUCAAUGUCAAAUAUAUGCACUAUAUAUAAAAAUAUAUUUCAUGUUCUAUCUAAUAAAUUAUGUAUUUUUUCUAUUAACUUAGUCAAAGAUAAAUUAAAGAAGUUUGGUUUACAAUAAAACAACUUAUAAUUUAGGAUGGAGAGAGUAAUAAUAGUUAACCUCCACUAAACGGUAUGCAGGGAUCCGAAGGACAUGUUGGUUUCUAUGUGGCAGUUCUCCAGGAGGAUUCGACCAGACCUUG
rnacentral:lncRNA from 1 species